UUUUUUUUUUUUUCGACAAGCGGGGACUAAAAGCAAGCUUUUCAUCCACCGAUGAUACAAGGCGUUUUUAGUACCUUAGGAUCGACUGACCCACAUCCAACUACUGUUCCACGUGGAACCCUUCUCCACUUCAGUCUUCAAGGAUCGAACUUGAAUAUUUGCUACUACCAUACGAUCUGCACUGACGGAAAGUCCAGCCGAGCCUACCUCAUAGUUAA
rnacentral:misc_RNA from 1 species